AAAUGACCUCAAAUCAGGUAAGAAUACCCGCUGAACUUAAGCAUAUCAAUAAGCGGAGGAAAAGAAAAUAACAAUGAUUCCCUUAGUAACGGCGAGUGAAGGGGGAAAAGCUCAAAUUUUAAAUCUGCUAGGUUUUUUACCUGUCAGAAUUGUAAUUUGAAGAAGCGUUUUCCGCGUCUCGGUUGGCCCAAAUCCUUUGGGAUAAGGUAUCAUGGAGGGUGAGAAUCCCGUUCGGUUGACCUUAUGACGCAUUACGAUACGCUUUCUAAGAGUCGAGUUGUUUGGGAUUGCAGCUCAAAAUGGGAGGUAAAUUUCUCCUAAGGCUAAAUAUUGGCGAGAGACCGAUAGCGAACAAGUACCGUGAGGGAAAGAUGAAAAGAACUUUGAAAAGAGAGUAAAAUAGUACGUGAAAUUGUUGAAAGGGAAACGAUUGAAGUCAGUCGUACCGACGAGAAAUCAGCUUAUCGUGUGUUAACUUGUGGGCGUGCGUGAGUUUCGGCCUCGCUGUUUGCAUGUUUGUGCGCUUUGGGUGUACUUUUUCGUAUGGUUGGCCAACAUCAGUUUCGAUUACUAUAAAAUGACUGGCGGAAUGUAGCUUCGAUUUCGGUUGAAGUGUUAUAGCCUCUGGUAGAUGUGGUGAUUGAGACUGAGGAUUGCAACGAAUAUUCUUUGGGCUAUCCGUCUGGCCUCUGAAAGUUGCUUGGGUGCUGAAAGCUUGCUUAUGGUUAUCUAAGUUAACGGUCAAUAGGUUAGAACGUGAUUACAUUCGUUAAGGAUGUUGGCGUAAU
rnacentral:rRNA from 1 species